rnacentral:lncRNA from 1 species
AUCACUUUUUUCAAUAUUACUAACUUUAGGAUCAUUACACUUUUACCUUAAUUAAAUAUCAAUUAAACAAAAAUUACUAGACCAAAUUUUAAUAUAUUUUUAAAUAUUUAUGAACACAUUUUGUGGAAAUGCUAUUUCAGAAUUGUAAUUUCUAACACCAUUGGAAACUAGAUUGUUACAGAUACCUCUAAAUGUAACACCCCAUACUCGACCUGGUGGUUGAGUCCAAGCUAUAAGAUGCUACAUUCAUUGCCAAAGCAACUACAAUUACAAUUUUUAUCAAUUCAAUACUUUAUACUCAC